rnacentral:ncRNA from 1 species
CUAUCAUGCGUCCGUCGCAGCAAAAUCUGCGACCGGGCGUGAGAACCCGAGUG